rnacentral:rRNA from 1 species
UCAACGCUGGCGGCGUGCCUCAGACAUGCAAGUCGAACGCGAAAGGCCCCUUCGGGGGCCCGGUAGAGUGGCGCACGGGUGAGUAACACGUAGGUAAUUUGCCUUCGGGUGGGGAAUAACAGCCGGAAACGGCUGCUAAUACCGCAUAAUGCAGCGGCUCGACAUCGAGACAGUUGUUAAAGCGGGGGAUCGCAAGACCUCGCGCCUGAAGAGAAGCCUGCGGCAGAUAGCUUGUUGGUGAGGUAAUGGCUCACCAAGGCGACGAUCUGUAACCGGCCUGAGAGGGCGGUCGGUCGACACUGACACUGGACAUACGGGUCAGACUCCUACGGAGGCAGCAGUCGGGAAUUUUGGGCAAUGGGCGAAAGCCUGACCCAGCAACGCCGCGUGAAGGAUAGAAAUCUCUCGGGAUGUAAACUUCGCAAGAACGGGAAGAAUAAGUUUGGGAUAAUA